UACAGAGGUCUCAAGCGUUGUUCGGAUUCAUUGGGCGUAAAGGGUGUGUAGGUGGCGCGCUAAGUCGGGUGUGAAAUUUCGGAGCUUAACUCCGAAACUGCAUUCGAUACUGGCGUGCUUGAGGACUGGAGAGGAGACUGGAAUUCAUGGUGUAGCAGUGAAAUGCGUAGAGAUCAUGAGGAAGACCAGUGGCGAAGGCGGGUCUCUGGACAGUUCUGACACUGAGGCACGAAGGCCAGGGGAGCAAACGGG
rnacentral:rRNA from 1 species